UUAAGCGACUAAGCGUACACGGUGGAUGCCCUGGCAGUCAGAGGCGAUGAAGGACGUGCUAAUCUGCGAUAAGCGUCGGUAAGGUGAUAUGAACCGUUAUAACCGGCGAUUUCCGAAUGGGGAAACCCAGUGUGAUUCGUCACACUAUCAUUAACUGAAUCCAUAGGUUAAUGAGGCGAACCGGGGGAACUGAAACAUCUAAGUACCCCGAGGAAAAGAAAUCAACCGAGAUUCCCCCAGUAGCGGCGAGCGAACGGGGAGGAGCCCAGAGCCUGAAUCAGUGUGUGUGUUAGUGGAAGCGUCUGGAAAGGCGCGCGAUACAGGGUGACAGCCCCGUACACAAAAAUGCACAUGCUGUGAGCUCGAUGAGUAGGGCGGGACACGUGGUAUCCUGUCUGAAUAUGGGGGGACCAUCCUCCAAGGCUAAAUACUCCUGACUGACCGAUAGUGAACCAGUACCGUGAGGGAAAGGCGAAAAGAACCCCGGCGAGGGGAGUGAAAAAGAACCUGAAACCGUGUACGUACAAGCAGUGGGAGCACGCUUAGGCGUGUGACUGCGUACCUUUUGUAUAAUGGGUCAGCGACUUAUAUUCUGUAGCAAGGUUAACCGAAUAGGGGAGCCGAAGGGAAACCGAGUCUUAACUGGGCGUUAAGUUGCAGGGUAUAGACCCGAAACCCGGUGAUCUAGCCAUGGGCAGGUUGAAGGUUGGGUAACACUAACUGGAGGACCGAACCGACUAAUGUUGAAAAAUUAGCGGAUGACUUGUGGCUGGGGGUGAAAGGCCAAUCAAACCGGGAGAUAGCUGGUUCUCCCCGAAAGCUAUUUAGGUAGCGCCUCGUGAAUUCAUCUCCGGGGGUAGAGCACUGUUUCGGCAAGGGGGUCAUCCCGACUUACCAACCCGAUGCAAACUGCGAAUACCGGAGAAUGUUAUCACGGGAGACACACGGCGGGUGCUAACGUCCGUCGUGAAGAGGGAAACAACCCAGACCGCCAGCUAAGGUCCCAAAGUCAUGGUUAAGUGGGAAACGAUGUGGGAAGGCCCAGACAGCCAGGAUGUUGGCUUAGAAGCAGCCAUCAUUUAAAGAAAGCGUAAUAGCUCACUGGUCGAGUCGGCCUGCGCGGAAGAUGUAACGGGGCUAAACCAUGCACCGAAGCUGCGGCAGCGACGCUUAUGCGUUGUUGGGUAGGGGAGCGUUCUGUAAGCCUGCGAAGGUGUGCUGUGAGGCAUGCUGGAGGUAUCAGAAGUGCGAAUGCUGACAUAAGUAACGAUAAAGCGGGUGAAAAGCCCGCUCGCCGGAAGACCAAGGGUUCCUGUCCAACGUUAAUCGGGGCAGGGUGAGUCGACCCCUAAGGCGAGGCCGAAAGGCGUAGUCGAUGGGAAACAGGUUAAUAUUCCUGUACUUGGUGUUACUGCGAAGGGGGGACGGAGAAGGCUAUGUUGGCCGGGCGACGGUUGUCCCGGUUUAAGCGUGUAGGCUGGUUUUCCAGGCAAAUCCGGAAAACUAAGGCUGAGGCGUGAUGACGAGGCACUACGGUGCUGAAGCAACAAAUGCCCUGCUUCCAGGAAAAGCCUCUAAGCAUCAGGUAACAUCAAAUCGUACCCCAAACCGACACAGGUGGUCAGGUAGAGAAUACCAAGGCGCUUGAGAGAACUCGGGUGAAGGAACUAGGCAAAAUGGUGCCGUAACUUCGGGAGAAGGCACGCUGAUAUGUAGGUGAAGUCCCUCGCGGAUGGAGCUGAAAUCAGUCGAAGAUACCAGCUGGCUGCAACUGUUUAUUAAAAACACAGCACUGUGCAAACACGAAAGUGGACGUAUACGGUGUGACGCCUGCCCGGUGCCGGAAGGUUAAUUGAUGGGGUUAGCGCAAGCGAAGCUCUUGAUCGAAGCCCCGGUAAACGGCGGCCGUAACUAUAACGGUCCUAAGGUAGCGAAAUUCCUUGUCGGGUAAGUUCCGACCUGCACGAAUGGCGUAAUGAUGGCCAGGCUGUCUCCACCCGAGACUCAGUGAAAUUGAACUCGCUGUGAAGAUGCAGUGUACCCGCGGCAAGACGGAAAGACCCCGUGAACCUUUACUAUAGCUUGACACUGAACAUUGAGCCUUGAUGUGUAGGAUAGGUGGGAGGCUUUGAAGUGUGGACGCCAGUCUGCAUGGAGCCGACCUUGAAAUACCACCCUUUAAUGUUUGAUGUUCUAACGUUGACCCGUGAUCCGGGUUGCGGACAGUGUCUGGUGGGUAGUUUGACUGGGGCGGUCUCCUCCUAAAGAGUAACGGAGGAGCACGAAGGUUGGCUAAUCCUGGUCGGACAUCAGGAGGUUAGUGCAAUGGCAUAAGCCAGCUUGACUGCGAGCGUGACGGCGCGAGCAGGUGCGAAAGCAGGUCAUAGUGAUCCGGUGGUUCUGAAUGGAAGGGCCAUCGCUCAACGGAUAAAAGGUACUCCGGGGAUAACAGGCUGAUACCGCCCAAGAGUUCAUAUCGACGGCGGUGUUUGGCACCUCGAUGUCGGCUCAUCACAUCCUGGGGCUGAAGUAGGUCCCAAGGGUAUGGCUGUUCGCCAUUUAAAGUGGUACGCGAGCUGGGUUUAGAACGUCGUGAGACAGUUCGGUCCCUAUCUGCCGUGGGCGCUGGAGAACUGAGGGGGGCUGCUCCUAGUACGAGAGGACCGGAGUGGACGCAUCACUGGUGUUCGGGUUGUCAUGCCAAUGGCACUGCCCGGUAGCUAAAUGCGGAAGAGAUAAGUGCUGAAAGCAUCUAAGCACGAAACUUGCCCCGAGAUGAGUUCUCCCUGACUCCUUGAGAGUCCUGAAGGAACGUUGAAGACGACGACGUUGAUAGGCCGGGUGUGUAAGCGCAGCGAUGCGUUGAGCUAACCGGUACUAAUGAACCGUGAGGCUUAACCUU
rnacentral:rRNA from 1 species